rnacentral:rRNA from 1 species
UACGUAGGGUGCAAGCGUUGUCCGGAAUUAUUGGGCGUAAAGAGCUCGUAGGCGGUUUGUCGCGUCUGCUGUGAAAUCUCAAGGCUCAACCUUGAGCUUGCAGUGGGUACGGGCAGACUAGAGUGUGGUAGGGGAGACUGGAAUUCCUGGUGUAGCGGUGAAAUGCGCAGAUAUCAGGAGGAACACCGGUGGCGAAGGCGGGUCUCUGGGCAGUAACUGACGCUGAGGAGCGAAAGCGUGGGGAGCGAACAGG